rnacentral:rRNA from 1 species
AUUGAACGCUAGCGGGAUGCCUUACACAUGCAAGUCGAACGAAGCACCUUGAUUUGAUUCUUCGGAUGAAGAUCUUGGUGACUGAGUGGCGGACGGGUGAGUAACGCGUGGGUAACCUGCCUCAUACAGGGGGAUAACAGUUAGAAAUGACUGCUAAUACCGCAUAAGACCACAGCACCGCAUGGUGCAGGGGCAAAAACUCCGGUGGUAUGAGAUGGACCCGCGUCUGAUUAGGUAGUUGGUGGGGUAACGGCCUACCAAGCCGACGAUCAGUAGCCGACCUGAGAGGGUGACCGGCCACAUUGGGACUGAGACACGGCCCAA